GAUGAACGCUAGCUACAGGCUUAACACAUGCAAGUCGAGGGGCAGCAUGGUCUUAGCUUGCUAAGGCCGAUGGCGACCGGCGCACGGGUGAGUAACACGUAUCCAACCUGCCGUCUACUCUUGGACAGCCUUCUGAAAGGAAGAUUAAUACAAGAUGGCAUCAUGAGUCCGCAUGUUCACAUGAUUAAAGGUAUUCCGGUAGACGAUGGGGAUGCGUUCCAUUAGAUAGUAGGCGGGGUAACGGCCCACCUAGUCUUCGAUGGAUAGGGGUUCUGAGAGGAAGGUCCCACACAUUGGAACUGAGACACGGUCCAAACUCCUACUGGAGGCAGCAGUGAGGAAUAUUGGUCAAUGGGCGAGAGCCUGAACCAGCCAAGUAGCGUGAAGGAGGACUGCCCUAUGGGUUGUAAACUUCUUUUAUAAAGGAAUAAAGUCGGGUAUGGAUACCCGUUUGCAUGUACUUUAUGAAUAAGGAUCGGCUAACUCCGUG
rnacentral:rRNA from 1 species